rfam:Fukomys damarensis contig93773, whole genome shotgun sequence.
GUGCUUGCUUUGGCAGCACAUAUAAAUCAGUAUGCUACAGAAAGGAUCAACAUAGCCUAUGCACAAGUAUGACACACUUUUUUAAGUUUAAAGUAGUCUAUAUUUUU